rnacentral:misc_RNA from 1 species
CCGCGCGUCCUAGUUUCGCCUACCAACGAAGCGACUGCGGGAAAAGAAAAAACAGAGAAGAAGAACAAAAAGGAAUCGCUUCCGACGCGGGGCUCAACUAACGAAUCGUCGAACGCAUCCCGACUCGUUCAAAACGAAACGCUCGAAAUGGCCCCGCGUAAUACCUAACCCCGAAAAUAAGAGGGAAUAAAAAUAUCUUAUUACACGAACGACCGAGUGCCGAACUUUCCUAGAUCCGAUUUCCUUCUUGCUUCGCGGUUGUAAAACGCAAGUUUUUACACGCGACUGAAGAAAACUUAAAAAGAACAGAAGAAAGAACGCCGCGUUCUAAAAGGUGCAUGAAAGUUGCGCGUUCGAUCGAAUACAUGGCCGCGUCACGAACUUUCAAAGCAGUUACUCGAGAAACAAUAAAUAGUCAAUGAUUUAUAGCGCGUAAUUCUGUCGGGUUUCUUCUAAAACUUUCUUCCACCUA